rnacentral:rRNA from 1 species
AUUGAACGCUGGCGGCAUGCCUAACACAUGCAAGUCGAACGGCAGCACAAUAAAGAUUUCGGUCUUUAUGGGUGGCGAGUGGCGGACGGGUGAGUAACGCGUAGGAAUCUGUCCUGGAGAGUGGGAUAACCCGAGGAAACUCGGGCUAAUACUGCAUGACAUUGAGAGAUCAAAAGCAGGGGACCGAAAGGCCUUGCGCUCUGGGGUGAGCCUACGUCGGAUUAGCUAGUUGGUGGGGUAAAGGCCUACCAAGGCGACGAUCAGUAGCUGGUCUGAGAGGAUGACCAGACACACUGGGACUGAGACACGGCCCAGACUCCUACGGGAGGCAGCAGUGGGGAAUCUUGGACAAUGGGGGAAACCCUGAUCCAGCGAUGCCGCGUGUGUGAAGAAGGCCUUCGGGUUGUAAAGCACUUUAGGUGGGGAAGAAAGGUAGCGAGUGAAUAACUUUCUGCUGUGACGGUACCCACAGAAUAAGCACCGGCUAACUCUGUGCCAGCAGCCGCAGUAA